UCCGAAGGGUGCAAACGUUGCUCGGAAUCAUUGGGCGUAAAGCGCACGUAGGCGGCUUCGCAAGUCGGAUGUGAAAUCCCUCUGCUCAACCAAGGACGUGCAUCCGAAACUGCAGAGCUUGAGUACAGAAGAGGAUCGCGGAAUUCCCGGUGUAGAGGUGAAAUUCGUAGAUAUCGGGAGGAACACCAGUGGCGAAGGCGGCGACCUGGGCAGAUACUGACACUGAGGUGCGAAAGCGUGGGGAGCAAACAGG
rnacentral:rRNA from 1 species